AUUGAACGCUGGCGGCAGGCCUAACACAUGCAAGUCGAGCGGAUGAGUGGAGCUUGCUCCAUGAUUCAGCGGCGGACGGGUGAGUAAUGCCUAGGAAUCUGCCUGGUAGUGGGGGACAACGUUUCGAAAGGAACGCUAAUACCGCAUACGUCCUACGGGAGAAAGUGGGGGAUCUUCGGACCUCACGCUAUCAGAUGAGCCUAGGUCGGAUUAGCUAGUUGGUGAGGUAAAGGCUCACCAAGGCGACGAGCCGUAACUGGUCUGAGAGGAUGAUCAGUCACACUGGAACUGAGACACGGUCCAGACUCCUACGGGAGGCAGCAGUGGGGAAUAUUGGACAAUGGGCGAAAGCCUGAUCCAGCCAUGCCGCGUGUGUGAAGAAGGUCUUCGGAUUGUAAAGCACUUUAAGUUGGGAGGAAGGGCAGUAAGUUAAUACCUUGCUGUUUUGACGUUACCAACAGAAUAAGCACCGGCUAACUUCGUGCCAGCCGCCGCCGUAA
rnacentral:rRNA from 1 species